GAUGAAGAACGUAUCGAAAUGCGAUAAGUAAUGUGAAUUGCAGAAUUCAGUGAAUCAUCGAGUCUUUGAACGCACAUUGCGCCCCCUGGUAUUCCGGGGGGCAUGCCUGUCCGAGCGUCAUUGCUGCCCUCAAGCACGGCUUGUGUGUUGGGCCCCCGUCCCCGGUUUCCCCCGGGGACGGGCCCGAAAGGCAGCGGCGGCACCGCGUCCGGUCCUCGAGCGUAUGGGGCUUUGUCACCCGCUCUGUAGGCCCGGCCGGCGCCAGCCGACACCCAACUUUAUUUCUAAGGUUGACCUCGGAUCAGGUAGGGAUACCCGCUGAACUUAAGCAUAUCAAUAAGCGGAGGA
rnacentral:misc_RNA from 1 species